rnacentral:rRNA from 1 species
GUGGGGAAUAUUGGACAAUGGGCGCAAGCCUGAUCCAGCCAUGCCGCGUGAGUGAUGAAGGCCUUAGGGUUGUAAAGCUCUUUCACCGAUGAAGAUAAUGACGGUAGUCGGAGAAGAAGCCCCGGCUAACUUCGUGCCAGCAGCCGCGGUAAUACGAAGGGGGCUAGCGUUGUUCGGAUUUACUGGGCGUAAAGCGCACGUAGGCGGUUUGUUAAGUCAGGGGUGAAAUCCCGGAGCUCAACUCCGGAACUGCCUUUGAUACUGGCAAGCUAGAGUCCGGAAGAGGUAAGUGGAACUCCUAGUGUAGAGGUGAAAUUCGUAGAUAUUCGCAAGAACACCAGUGGCGAAGGCGGCUUGCUGGUCCGGAUCUGACGCUGAGGCGCGAAAGCGUGGGGAGCAAACAGGAUUAGAUACCCCAGUAGUCC